UACCUAAUGAAUAAAAAUAAAUCAUUAAAAUAUGGUGGUAUAAGAUAAUGGAAAAGAAAAAUUGUCAAUUGUUAGUUCUGUUGGGGUCCUUAAAUAGGCCAGAAAUGGCCCCCUCUUCCCAAUCAAGCAUUAAAUAAAAUCAAGAAAACAAAGAAAUGGCAUAUGGAGGACGAAGUACCACCUUCAUUACCAACAAAGGCUGAGCUACAGCUUAAUAUGAAAAAUGGACUAAAUCCCAGAUUUAGAUGAUUCACCCCUCCCCAUCACAGCACAACUAACUGGGCUAGAUGAGAGUCACAGCACGAAGGAAUGGGCAAAUUACCACAGGCCCUCACCCCCCAAGAGGAAGAAAUAUUUGAUGGAAACCCAGCAUUUUGUUUCUCUACAACUACAGUGUCCAACACAGAAGCCACAACCAUCUGGGGUUGUUUAAACUUAAUGAAAUUAGUAAAAAUUUAAAAACUAAAAAUUAGUUCCACAGAUGCACUUGCCACAUUUUAUGUGCUCAGUAGCUGGCUGUGACUAAUAACUACCAUACCAAACAGCACAGAAUAUAGUACAUUUCCAUCACUGUAGGAAGUUUUAUUGAACAGCCUGGUCUACCAUAUGGGUUGUCUUAAAUAUUCAUACCAACUUUACAACAAAAUGAGCUUUUGAUAAUAGUAAAUUUGUUCACUAGGGAAAAUUUGGGGGGGAAAGGGGGGGCAAUAAAAAUCACCCAUAAAUAACCACAUUUUGGUGUGUUUAUAUUCAUUCUUUUUCCUUAAAAUGUAGUAGUCCCACCUUAUCCACAGGAGAUAUGUUCCAACACCCCCAGUGGAUGUCUAAAACCCUAGAUAGUACUGAACCUACAUGUACUGUUUAUUCCUAUACAUACAUACCUAUAAUAAAGUUUAAUUUAUAAAUCAGGUACAGUAAGAGAUCAAUAACUAAUAAUAAAAAAGCAAUUCUAACAAUAUACUGUAAUAAAAGUUAUGUGACUUGAACACAAGCACUGUGAUACCUUGACAGUUGAUCUGAUAACUGAGAUGGUCACUAAGUGACUAACAGGAGGGUAGUAUCUACAGUGUGGACAUGCCAGACAAAGGGAAGAUUCAUAUCAUAUGGAGCAGGAGGAUGAGAGAUUUUAUAACUACUCAAAGGAGAGUAACUGAAAACUCAUGACUUGUUUAAUUCUGGAAAUUUUCAUUUAAUAUUUUCAGAUUGCAGUUGACCACAGAUAACUGAAACCACAGAAAGCAAAACCACGGAUAAGAGAGGACAACUAUAUGCACGUGUAUCUGUACAUAUACAUACAUGCCACUUUCCAUAUCAUUAAAUACCUGAACACAUUGUUUUUAUAUGUUCUUAUAUGUUUUUUAAAAACAUGAUAGUUAUGCAACACUGGACCUUACUGACAUACCUUACUGUAUCUUGCUUUUCUUCUACCAUUUGACAUUUAGAUUGUUUCCAUGUUUUGCUCUAAUAAUAAUUUGCUAUAACAAAUCUGUCCCAGUGAGCCUUAGAAUAAAUUCUGAGACAUGUUUAAAA